rnacentral:rRNA from 1 species
UACGUAGGGUGCAAGCGUUGUCCGGAAUUAUUGGGCGUAAAGGGCUCGUAGGCGGUUUGUCGCGUCGGGAGUGAAAACUCAGGGCUUAACCCUGAGCCUGCUUCCGAUACGGGCAGACUAGAGGUAUGCAGGGGAGAAUGGAAUUCCUGGUGUAGCGGUGAAAAUGCGCAGAUAUCAGGAGGAACACCGGUGGCGAAGGCGGUUCUCUGGGCAUUACCUGACGCUGAGGAGCGAAAGUGUGGGGAGGCGAACAGG